rnacentral:lncRNA from 1 species
AAGCAGAUCGGCGGCCGCGGGGAGGUUCGGGGCGGCGCAGCCCCGCGCGGUUGUGGGAUCGCUCCCGGGGGCCGCUCCUCUCUCGGGCACUGGGGUCGCGGGAGACGUCGUCGGGAGCUCGGUUUCUGGAGGCCCUUCCCCACCCGGCCUCUGCCUCCUCCACUCCCCCGGGCUGGACGGAACGGGGCCCAGCGCGGGAUGCGAGAAAUAACCAUGGAUAUGGGUAGAGACAGAGCCAUAUGGAAUGCACACUGCAGUGGUGAACACAUGGCCCAGCUCUGCCAUCAAGGAGAAGGAACAUGAAUGGAGCUGGAGGCCAUCAUCCUUAGUGAACUAACACAGGAGCAGAAAACCAAAUACCACAUGUUCUCAUGUGUAAGUGGGAGCUAAAUGAUGAGAACACAUGGACACAAAGAGGGGAACAACAGACACUGAAGCCUCCUUGAGGGAGGAGGGUAAGAGGAAGGAGAAGAUCAGAAAAGAUAACUACCAGGUACUAUGGUAGCUUAGUACCUGGGUGAUGAAAUAAUCUGUACACCCAACCCUCAUGACAGAAGUUUACCUGUGUAACAAACCUGCACAUGUAUCCCUGAAACUAAAAGUUUUUUAAAAAGUUAUUUAAUAUAUAUAUAUUUUUUUGAGACGGAGUUUUGCUCUUGUUGCCCAGGCUGGAGUGCGGUGGCGCAAUUUCGGCUCACCACAACCUCCGCCUCCCAGGUUCAAGCUAUUCCCCUGCCUCAGCCUCCCUAGUAGCUGGGAUUACAGGCUUGUGCCACCACGCCGGCUAAUUUUGUAUUUUUUGUAGAGACGGGGUUUCUCCAUGUUGGUCAGGCUGGUCUCGAACUCCCGACCUCAGGUGAUCCACCCCCCUCGGCCUCCCAAAGUGCUAGGAUUACAGGCAUGAGCCACUGCGCCCGGCAAAAAGUUAUUUAAUAUUAAUGGGACAAUACUCAUUGCAAGAAUCAGACUUCAAUUGCUAGCAUAAGUAAAUGACAGGCAGGAGAUAUUGAAAAUGCAAUCUUAUAGACAUUCAAGGAGAGGACGCAGGACAUUUCUGUGUCAUAAAUGUACUAUGGAAAAUAAAAAUGAGAAAAAUGGAAAUAAAAUACAAGAAAAGGUUAUGAUAAAUUUCAUAUUAUUUUACCACAAUAAAAAAAUUUUAAUAAAUUAUAAAUGGUGUGAUAUGUUUUGCCUGUGUUCCACCCAAAUCUCAUCUUGAAUUAGAGCUCCCACAAUUCCCACGUGUUGUGGCUGGGACCCUGUGGGAGAUAAUUGAAUCAUGGGGGCAGUUUACCCCAUACUGUUCUCUUGGUGGUGAAUAAGUCUCAUGAGAGUUGAUGGUUUGAUAAGGGGUUUCCCCUUUUGCUUGGCUCUCAUUCUCUCUUGACUGCCACCAUGUAAGAUGUGCCUUUUGCCUUCCACCAUGAUUGUGAAGCCUCCCAGCCACAUGGAACUGUGAGUCCAUUAAACCUUUUUCUUUACAAAUUA